rnacentral:lncRNA from 1 species
UAUUUCACCAAUUUUAUUUAUUAGCUAUUCUUUUGUUCCUUACUUCAUCGUAGAUGAUCGGACGACACAAAUACGACUCGACUCAACACCGAGGCGGUUCGUAUCAUUCAAUUUCGUGUUCUUGGCUUCCAAGAAUCCCCUAUUAAUAAGUGUUUUGAGUUUUGAUUGAUUCUUUAUUGUUUUGGAGUUUUUGUUUCAGAUCUGGAAUUUUAAGAUUUAAAUUGGAUUUAAAAAAAAAACACACUCAUUCCAAUGGAUGGAUAAUGAAUAAUAAGAAAGUGUUGGGCAGGCCCAUUUUUAUGCCAAUUCAUUUGAGUGAUGAAAUUAUAUAAAUCUUUUGUAGAUGGUGGUAGAAAAUUGGAGUUGACCCACUUGGAAGAGCUUUAUUUAGAUUACAAUCACUUCAAUACUAGUGUAUUUGCAUCCCUUAACAAGCUUUCAAAUUUGAAAUCGUUGAGCAUAAGGGUCAAUCAAUUGAAAGGAUCAAUAGAUAUGAAAGGUAAAAAUAUUAGUCUUUUUAACAAGAAUAUAAUCAUGUUUGAAGAGAAUAUAAUGAAAUUGAUUUGUUGUUUUUUGUUUUCCUAGAUUUGGAUGCAUUUAUCAACUUAAGGGAACUAUAUAUGAGCGACAAUGAAUUGAAAAAUUUUGUGAUCCACCAAGGUAUCAUUUAAUUAAACUUCCUUUUUUUUUCUAAUUUAGAAAUUUAGUUUUGAUCUCAAAUGUUAUAAUAACUAAUAAAGAUAUAUCAUAUCAUACUUGAAAGUAAAAUAUGGGUUUGGUGAAACAUUUUCUAAAUCCUCCAUUAUUAUGUGUUUCGACUUUGGUUUGAAACUAAAAUUCUUUAAAAUUUUCAUUAUUUUUAAAUAUUAAUGUUUAUAAUUAUUUUGUUUCUAUAAAUAUAUAUAUUUUUAAAUAAUUUAUUGAAUUUUUAUGAGAUAAAAAAUAAUUAUAACAAUAAAAAAAUGAUAUUAUAAAUAAAUAAAAACAUAUAUUUAUGAGAAAAUAUGUAAUAUAACUAUAUUUUAAUUUCAUAUAUUUUUAAUAGUAUAAAACAUAAAAAUACAUAUUAGAGUUAAAUAAAUGGCAUUUUUUGGAAAAAAUAAAUAAAUGUCAAUUUUGAAUAAUUUAAAAAAAUCUUCAAUUUUAUGAAAUUUAAACAUACAUUUAGAGGUGCUUAAACUUCCAUUGCAAACUUUUUAUAAAUUUCAAAAUGCACAUGUUAUUAACAUAGGUCUACAUACUCUUUACAAAUUUGUAAUUUAAUUCUUAUACUUUUAUUUUCAGGAAUUUAGUCCCUCUAUUUUUUUAAAAUUUCAAAAUCCAAGUUCAAUUAUUAAAAUUGUUAAUUUUUUAAAAUAAUUUGUUGGUGUAACAUUUUGAAGUUAAAAAAAACUUGGUAGCAAUGUAACUAAAAAAUGAUAUAAUGAACAUGGAUUUAAUAAAAUAAUUUUAACAGUAUUAAUAAUUAGACUUGAAUUUUGAAAUUUCACGUUUGUAAAGAGUAAAAGGGAGAUAUGACAUAUUUUAACUUAACUCUGGCCAAUAUUUAGUGCUUUAAAAUUUUCAUUUAAUCCACUGAGUUUACUUAAAAUUCUUUUGACUUUUAUUUAUUGGUGAGUAAAAUAUCAAUUUGAUUUUUUUUUAUAAAGUAUUGGUAACUUUAAAGGUAAUAUAAUAAUUUUAGUGUAGACAUGUUUUAUUUUAUAAAUAUUAUUUAUUGUGUUGUUGAGUGGAGUUUGAAAAUUAUACGAAUUAGCUAUAUCAGCUAAUUACUUAUAUUCAAAAAUAAUAUAAGAAAAUACUUAAAAAAAGUAUAAUUAAUAAAAUGGAUGAAGAGUUAUAUUAAAGAUUCAACAUCUUUCUCUCUAUCAAAAUUUAUCUCGGAUAAAUCAUGAAUAAUCUAACUCAUAAAAAAGAAAACAAAUAUUUAUAUAUUUCAUUUCAUUCACAGAAAAUAAAGCAUUCCACUUAGUAAAGGCUUUCUAUAAUACUAUUAUCUAAUACCUCUUGACAUUGCUUAGAUUCAAAUAAUUAUAACAAUAAAAACAAUGAUAUUAUAAAUAAAAAUACAUAUAUUUUUAAUAGUAUAAAACAUAAAAAUACACAUUAGAAUUAAAUAAAUGGCAUUUUUUGGCCAAAAAUAAAUAAAUGUCAAUUUUGAAUAAUUUAAAAAAAACUUCAAUUUUAUGAAAUUUAAACAUACAUUUUGAGGUGCUUAAAUUUUUUUUUUCAAACUUUUUAUAAACUUCAAAUUGCACAUGUAGUUAACUUUUUGGUUUAAAAAAUUGUGAUAGGUCUACGUACUCUUUACAAAUUUUUAAUUUAAUUCUUGUAUUUUUAUUUUCGGGAAUUUGAUCCCUUUAUUUUUUAAAUUUCAAAAUCCAAGUUCAAUUGUUAACAUUGUUAUUUUUUAAAGUAAUUUAUUGGUGUUGACAUUUUGAAACAGAAGAACUUGGUAGCGAUGUAACUAAAAGAUGACGUAAUGAACAUGGAUUUAAUAAAAUAAUUUCAACAGUAUUAAUAGUUAGACCUGAAUUUUGAAAAUUUAUAUUUGUAAAGAGAAAAAUAUGCACAUUAGAUUUAAAUAAAAAAUAAUAUUUUUUUAGUUUAAAAUUUUCUAUUUUAUAAUAGAACCAUGCAUUUAAAUAAAUGAGAUUUUGAAGAAUUUCCAGAAAAAAAAAAACUAUGAAGGUGAAAUUUAAAUAAAGAAUUUGAGAAGCUAAAAGUCUCUUUCGGAAUUCAUAAAUUUUAAAAUUCAAAGGGAUGUAUUUUGACAAUUUUAGGGCAAUGAUUUAGUGCUUUAAAAUUUUGAUUUAAUAUGGAGAAUUUAAUUAAAAAAUUUAUUUAUUAGAUUGUAAAAUAUUUCUUAACAUUUUUAAUUGAGUACAAAGUAAAUUAAGUUUAAGGGAAAAUAUUUGGUAUUAUGAAUGAAAUUCCUUUUUUUUUAAUUAAAAAAAAUCUGGUUUUUUUUUUUUUAAAUCUGGGUGGUACUAUUAAUGAAAUUCUGGACUUUAUAAGUAGGGUUGAGAUAAUAACAAAUAUCUUAUAUGUUAUAGUAAAAUAUUAAAAAAGAAAUAUUUAAAAGUAGGUUACUGAUCAUUUUUUAACUUCACUUGUAGAGUUAAAAAACUCCAUUACCAGCGUUAAAUACUAAUAUUAAGGUUAAAUGCUAAAUUGAUUUCAAACAUAUUUGAGUUUUUAAAAGAAUAUGCUCAUAUAUUUAAAUCUGAUAUGAAUCAAGAAAAAAAUAUUUUCAGUGGCUCAUUAAAUUGGAAAUUAUUGAUAUAAGCUGGAAUUAUUUGAAGAAUAGCAUUCUUUAAAAUAAAUUCAUGUUGAAGGAAAAGUUAUUUGAAGUUAUUUGAUUUUAUCAUAUCAUGAAUAUUUGGGAUUGAAUUUCAAAAUUGAGUAAAUUAAGUAGGAAGGAAUCUCAAACAAAGUAUUUAUAUAUUGAAUCAAUUAAGUUUUACUUGUAAAAUGUAGUUAUCAAUUCAUGGGAAAGCUUGUAAAUUGGCUCUUCCUUCUCAAACAAUCAUUUUUCCUAACUAUUUAUGUAUGCUCGAGUUUGAUUUUAUCUUACGAUGAAUAUAUAUAACUAAUCAAUAUUUGGGAUUGAAUUUCAGGAUUGAAUAAUUUGACAAAUUUGAAGUACUUGGAUUUAAGUUGGAACGACAUUGAAAGCAUCUCAAACAAAGGUAUAAGUAUUUCUGCAAAACUUUCUUGACCGACUCUUAUUCCAAAAGGCAAUGACAGACUUCAAAUGUAUUUUCUUUAGUGAAUUUUUAUUGCAAAAAUGGAGUAUUAUUAUUUAUUUAUGUUUUGUAGUAACUAAUUAUAUAAUAUAUAAAUCAGGUUUUCAACGGCUCAUUAAAUUGGAAAUUAUUGAUAUAAGUUGGAAUUAUUUGAAGAAUAGAAUUCUUUAAAAUAAAUUCAUGUUGAAGGAAAAGUUGUUGCAAUAUGUUAUAUCAUGAAUAUAUAUAAGUAAUCAAUAUUUGGGAUUGAAUUUCAAAAUUGAGUAAUUUAAGUAGGAAGGUAUCUCAAACAAAGUAUUUAUAUAUUGAAUCAAUUAAGUUUUACUUGUAAAAUGUAGUUUAUCAAUUCAUGGGAAAGCUUGUAAAUUGGCUCUUCCUUCUCAAACAAUCAUUUUUCCUAACUAUUUAUAUCUUGAAUGAUAUUAUUUUCUUCCAAUGAUAGAUGGAACACAAUUGAGGCUAACAAACUUAGAGGAACUUUAUUUGGGUGGUAAUCUCUUUCGGAACAACACAAUUUCCUUUCUGCAAGGGCUUUCAAGCCUAAAGUCUUUGACUUUGUUCAACAGCCGUUUGCAAGGCUCAUUAGAUACUAAAGGUACUAAAGCUAUAACUUUGUUUUUCUUGAUAAUUCUUUCUAGAGCCUUUUAAAAUUAAUUGUUUCAAAUUUGAACAUUCACAUUUCACGUUUGAGGAUUUUUAUCUUCAAUUCAAGUUUUAGAUUUACUUUUUUUUUUCAUUUUUAUUUCAUUAAAAUAUUAAGUAGAAAUUAAAAUUAUUAACAUAAUGAUUUUUUAAAUUGUACGUGGAUAUGUAUAGGAUUGAGCAAUUUAACAAAUUUGAAGAAACUAGAUUUAAGUGGGAAUCAAAUUGAAAGCUUUCAAUCCUUUAAAGGUAUGCAUUUAUAUUUAACCAAUUACCUAAAUUCUUACAUAUAAUUAAAUUUUAUGCCAAUUCAUUUCAGUGAUGAAAUUAUAUAAAUCUUUUGUAGAUGGUGGUAGAAAAUUGGAGUUGACCCACUUGGAAGAGCUUUAUUUAGAUGGAAAUCACUUCAAUACUAGUGUAUUUGCAUCCCUUAACAAGCUUUCAAAUUUGAAAUC